rnacentral:rRNA from 1 species
CCUACGGGAGGCAGCAGUAGGGAAUCUUCCACAAUGGGCGAAAGCCUGAUGGAGCAACGCCGCGUGGGUGAAGAAGGUCUUCGGAUCGUAAAACCCUGUUGUUAGAGAAGAAAGUGCGUGAGCGUAACUGUUCACGUUUCGACGGUAUCUAACCAGACAGCCCCGGCUAACUACGUGCCAGCAGCCGCGGUAAUACGUAGGUGGCAAGCGUUAUCCGGAUUUAUUGGGCGUAAAGGGAACGCAGGCGGUCUUUUAAGUCUGAUGUGAAAGCCUUCGGCUUAACCGGAGUAGUGCAUUGGAAACGGGGAGACUUGAGUGCAGAAGAGGAGAGUGGAACUCCAUGUGUAGCGGUGAAAUGCGUAGAUAUAGGGAAGAACACCAGUGGCGAAAGCGGCUCUCUGGGCUGUAACUGACGCUGAGGUUCGAAAGCGUGGGUAGCAAACAGGAUUAGAUACCCCAGUAGUC